GUAUGUAACUAUUAAUCUUCGCAAACAAAAAUGAUUCUGAGUGAAUUCGGUUUUACAUGGUUUUGAAGGGCUGUAACAUUUACGAUUUUAAAAUAAUACAUUUCGUAAAUUUUCCCGUUUCCCCUACGUUUUACCUCGAUUUUUUUCAUUUAUUUUAAAAACCCCUGGGAAAAUCAAAAAAUGACCUCCUCAAAGUACUACUUCAGUCAGAUUUCCUUUG